GAUGAACGCUGGCGGCGUGCCUAAUACAUGCAAGUCGAGCGAACGGACGAGAAGCUUGCUUCUCUGAUGUUAGCGGCGGACGGGUGAGUAACACGUGGAUAACCUACCUAUAAGACUGGGAUAACUUCGGGAAACCGAAGCUAAUACCGGAUAAUAUUUUGAACCGCAUGGUUCAAAAGUGAAAGACGGUCUUGCUGUCACUUAUAGAUGGAUCCGCGCUGCAUUAGCUAGUUGGUAAGGUAACGGCUUACCAAGGCAACGAUGCAUAGCCGACCUGAGAGGGUGAUCGGCCACACUGGAACUGAGACACGGUCCAGACUCCUACGGGAGGCAGCAGUAGGGAAUCUUCCGCAAUGGGCGAAAGCCUGACGGAGCAACGCCGCGUGAGUGAUGAAGGUCUUCGGAUCGUAAAACUCUGUUAUUAGGGAAGAACAUAUGUGUAAGUAACUGUGCACAUCUUGACGGUACCUAAUCAGAAAGCCACGGCUAACUACGUGCCAGCAGCCGCGGUAAUACGUAGGUGGCAAGCGUUAUCCGGAAUUAUUGGGCGUAAAGCGCGCGUAGGCGGUUUUUUAAGUCUGAUGUGAAAGCCCACGGCUCAACCGUGGAGGGUCAUUGGAAACUGGAAAACUUGAGUGCAGAAGAGGAAAGUGGAAUUCCAUGUGUAGCGGUGAAAUGCGCAGAGAUAUGGAGGAACACCAGUGGCGAAGGCGACUUUCUGGUCUGUAACUGACGCUGAUGUGCGAAAGCGUGGGGAUCAAACAGGAUUAGAUACCCUGGUAGUCCACGCCGUAAACGAUGAGUGCUAAGUGUUAGGGGGUUUCCGCCCCUUAGUGCUGCAGCUAACGCAUUAAGCACUCCGCCUGGGGAGUACGACCGCAAGGUUGAAACUCAAAGGAAUUGACGGGGACCCGCACAAGCGGUGGAGCAUGUGGUUUAAUUCGAAGCAACGCGAAGAACCUUACCAAAUCUUGACAUCCUUUGACAACUCUAGAGAUAGAGCCUUCCCCUUCGGGGGACAAAGUGACAGGUGGUGCAUGGUUGUCGUCAGCUCGUGUCGUGAGAUGUUGGGUUAAGUCCCGCAACGAGCGCAACCCUUAAGCUUAGUUGCCAUCAUUAAGUUGGGCACUCUAAGUUGACUGCCGGUGACAAACCGGAGGAAGGUGGGGAUGACGUCAAAUCAUCAUGCCCCUUAUGAUUUGGGCUACACACGUGCUACAAUGGACAAUACAAAGGGCAGCGAAACCGCGAGGUCAAGCAAAUCCCAUAAAGUUGUUCUCAGUUCGGAUUGUAGUCUGCAACUCGACUACAUGAAGCUGGAAUCGCUAGUAAUCGUAGAUCAGCAUGCUACGGUGAAUACGUUCCCGGGUCU
rnacentral:rRNA from 1 species